rnacentral:lncRNA from 1 species
UUUUACGACGGUUGCCACGUGUUGAAAAUCCCCUAAUUAUAUAUUUUAAAAGAUAAUACAAAGCUUUGUGGGUAAUUUAGAUUUCUUUCUGGGUAAUUAAAUGAAUUGAAAACGGCAACGCUGAUUCGUGGAGACCUAUUGAUUCAGCAAAUUUCUCUGUAAUCUAAAGCGCGCAAUGGUUCUGGUAAAUGAGUCAAGGAAGGUAUUUCGCAUUGACCUACACAGCACAAUCCUUGUGUCUCCGAAUGAGACUUUGACGCAAUAUAAUAUUCAUGGGCUCGGUUUAGUCACUGGCGGGAUGUUGUAAUUGCACACUUACGGAACUUCUCAUUUGACGGUGUAGACCGCGUUCCGUAGCUGCAUGUCCUUUUCAUUGUUCCUGAGUUCAACCAGCACGAAUCGUCAAUCGAGACUGUGUUAGCCAUUGUUUUAUAUUCUGAUCGGCCGUAUAAUGUCUCACGAACACUAAAGGCCAGUUUUCCAGUGCACGGCUUUGGUUUAAACUUAAAUUAACCGCUAGAGCUAGUCAAUUCAAACGCAGUUUACGUGAUCCUAAGUUUAAACUUGCACUGAAAAACUAACCCUAAAAGUGCAGCAUCAAAGAAUUCGCCUAACCAUAUUAGAAGCAAUCGCCAUAACCGCGAAAGAAAAUACCGCAAAGAAUUUACAAGGCAAAAAAACAAUAGAAAAACAGCUCAAAUUGGACCAUCCCUUCUCAAGAUAUACGCCGCCUGACGUACGCACAUAUAUGUAUUUGCAUACAAAUAUUUAUUUUUAGUAACAAUCAGAGUUUAUAUUAGAUGUAAAUAAGCUGGUUUUAAUUAAAUAAUUAAAGCAAAUACUACCGUA